UCCAGAGUGGGGUGAAGCUGAAAGACUGGGGAGCAGGCUAUGGUCAUCACCCCACAAGGGACAAGGAUCCAGCCCCCUGGCAGUGGGGUCCAGUUAGGAAGCAGGACACCUCCUUCUUGCCUUCCCACGCAAGAGUCUUUCUGCCUGAAGAAUCUUUCUGCCUGAAUCCGGGGAGUGACCCCGCAGAGCGAAAUGCAUGAUAAUGUGGAGGCUUCAGGGAAAGCGAGCGCUUCAGGAGGCAGCAAGUGAGAACAUGUUUCAGAGUGACAUGAGGAAAGCUAGAGCCCUGGAAGGACUUCCCAGAGGAAUGGGUUUGAGUUUCUGAGAGAAGCCAGGGAAUCCUUGAGAAGAAAAGAGCCCCUCACACACCGGGGCACGGAGUGGACAAGCUACCCCUCCUCCACAGCUGGUACUCCGUGGCCCGUCCAGCAGAUCCCGUUGGGGCACCUCUCCGACAAGGCACAGUAUCCAGCCCUAACCACCCCCUGCCAAGGUGGGAAGACUGAGGCCAUGAGAGGUGGAGAGACUGACUCAGCUUUCCCCAGAUCUUCUGACCAGAAAUUCCACAACACUGAUGAAGUGGCUUUGUCAAGAUUUCUGGGAGACAGGAGGAAAUAAAGGUGGAGGCUGAGAUCCUAUCCCAACCUCGUACUCAC
rnacentral:lncRNA from 1 species